UACGAAGGUGGCAAGCGUUACUCGGAAUUACUAGGCGUAAAGGGCAGGUAGGCGGUUUGAUAAGUCUGUUGUGAAAGCUCCCGGCUUAACUGGGAGAGGUCAAGGGAAACUACCAGACUAGAGUGUGGUAGGGGAUACUGGAAUUCCUGGUGUAGCGGUGAAAUGCGUAGAUAUCAGGAGGAAUACCUAUGGCGAAAGCAGGUAUCUGGGCCAUCACUGACGCUGAGCUGCGAAAGCUAGGGGAGCAAACAGG
rnacentral:rRNA from 1 species